GACGAACGCUGGCGGCGUGCUUAACACAUGCAAGUCGAGCGGUAAGGCCCUUUCGGGGUACGACGAGCGGCGAACGGGUGAGUAACACGUGGGUGACCUGCCCUCCAGCUCUGGGAGUAAAGCCUGGGAAACCGGGGUACUAAUACUGGAUAUGACUCCAUGACGCAUGUUGUGGGGUGGAAAGCCUUGUGCGGCUGAGGAUGGGCCCGCGGCCUAUCAGCUUGUUGGUGGGGUGAUGGCCUACCAAGGCGACGACGGGUAGCCGGCCUGAGAGGG
rnacentral:rRNA from 1 species